ensembl:snRNA U6 U6 spliceosomal RNA
GCUUGCCUCAGCCAACAUAUACUAAAAUUGGAAUGAUAUAGAGAUUAGCAUGGCCCCUGCAAAGGAUGACAUGCAAAUUUAUGAAGCACUUCAUUUUUCU